CCAUAUAUACUCACGUUUAAGUUCUCCCACUGAUAAGUCGUGGCUUGAUUUUACUGUACAAUUUCUGUCGUAUAAGUCGAAUGAGGAAAACUCACGCUCUUGGUCCAAGAGAUUAUGAUAUGCUAACACCCACCUGAGAGAGUCACCACGGAGCACACGGCCUUUGUUUUCUAUGUAUUGUGCCUAGGUGACCACACGGUAAUACCCGAACUAUUCUGAAGCGAUGUUUGCACUGUUUUGUGAUUUUUAUAUCUCACACCCUCAUACACCUUUAUCUUAAGAGCAUCCCUUAUCUACGACGGAGCGUUCAAUCAGAAGAAAAUACGAAGCUGGUUUUAAAUUAAAAGUCGUUGAAGUGGCAAAAGAAACUGGUAACUGCGCUGCUGCAACAAAAUUUGAUGCGUCUGAGAAACUGAUGUGAGUAUUGGAGGAGGCAAAAAAAAAUUAAGUGUCGCAUUUUUGAACGGCCGUAUAAGUCGGGGCCUGAUUUUAUGAUCGAUUUUCGGGUUUCAAGACCCCACUUAUAUGCAAGUAUAUACAGUACUUGGGUUUUCUGUCUAUUUAUAUUGGCUACCAGUUGUCACUUUUCAGGAUCGCUUGUUGUCAAUACAUGCAUUAAAUUAAAACCGUGCGUACAGAAAGGUAUAAAUCAAGCCCUACAGCCUACUCAUAGCCUAAUAGUGUACCAUAACACAGCUUGUUUAGCACUACUUGAAGACUAUGAAGGUGGUCCGAUACAAAAGGACGAGCUUGUAGGGACUCUUUUUGUGUUGUACCAUUGUCUGUUUUUGUACCCAGUUGGAGUGGCACUUGUAAUUUUGUUGUAAAUUAUUUUACAAUGACAAUAAAUGCCUUCUGUUCUA